rnacentral:rRNA from 1 species
AGGCAUUAUACCGUGAAACUGCGAAUGGCUCAUUAAAUCAGUUAUCGUUUAUUUGAUAGUACCUUACUACUUGGAUAACCGUGGUAAUUCUAGAGCUAAUACAUGCUGAAAACCCCAACUUCGGGAGGGGUGUAUUUAUUAGAUAAAAAACCAACGCCCUUCGGGGCUUCUUGGUGAUUCAUGAUAACUUUACGGAUCGCAUGGCCUUGCGCCGGCGACGGUUCAUUCAAAUUUCUGCCCUAUCAACUUUCGAUGGUAAGGUAUUGGCUUACCAUGGUUUCAACGGGUAACGGGGAAUUAGGGUUCGAUUCCGGAGAGGGAGCCUGAGAAACGGCUACCACAUCCAAGGAAGGCAGCAGGCGCGCAAAUUACCCAAUCCCGACACGGGGAGGUAGUGACAAUAAAUACUGAUACAGGGCUCUUUUGGGUCUUGUAAUUGGAAUGAGUACAAUUUAAACCUCUUAACGAGGAACAAUUGGAGGGCAAGUCUGGUGCCAGCAGCCGCGGUAAUUCCAGCUCCAAUAGCGUAUAUUAAAGUUGUUGCAGUUAAAAAGCUCGUAGUUGAAACUUGGGUCUGGCUGGCAGGUCCGCCUCACCGCGUGUACUUGUCCGGCCGGGCCUUCCUUCUGGAGAACCUCAUGCCCUUCACUGGGCGUGUUGGGGACCAGGACUUUUACUUUGAAAAAAUUAGAGUGUUCAAAGCAGGCCUUUGCUCGAAUACGUUAGCAUGGAAUAAUAGAAUAGGACGUGCGGUCCUAUUUUGUUGGUUUCUAGGACCGCCGUAAUGAUUAAUAGGGACAGUCGGGGGCAUCAGUAUUCAAUUGUCAGAGGUGAAAUUCUUGGAUUUAUUGAAGACUAACUACUGCGAAAGCAUUUGCCAAGGAUGUUUUUCAUUAAUCAGUGAACGAAAGUUAGGGGAUCGAAGACGAUCAGAUACCGUCGUAGUCUUAACCGUAAACUAUGCCGACUAGGGAUCGGGCGAUGUUCUUUUUCUGACUCGCUCGGCACCUUACUGAGAAAUCAAAGUUUUGCA